rnacentral:rRNA from 1 species
UGGCCGGAAGGCUGAAACCAGCCAAGCCGCGUGAAGGACGAAGGUGCCAAGCAUUGUAAACUUCUUUUGUCAAGGGACAAAAUCAGGCUCGAGAGCCUGACCGAGGGUACUUGAAGAAAAAGCAUCGGCUAACUCCGUGCC